CGUAGCCUCUUCCCCCCAAUCACAACCAUCGCAAACCCUAGCCCAAAAUCUCAUCCCCAACUCUGGUCGAAUCGCUGGGAGUAGUCGCCGCGGGCUCGGACCGGUGGAGAUCGGCGAGGAGCGGUGCAGAUUCAAGGGGGGGCUUAAUUGUUCGGCUUCGGAUCGGCGGAUAUUGGCGAGGAAGGGCUCAAAUAUUCGGUUUGGUGGAACGGCAAGGAGUUGGUGGGAUCGGGGUCCUUGCGCGUCGGCAUAAGGUGCGAUCGGCGGAUGCGAUUUGGUUUGAGCGUUCUGGAAUUCGAGGUGAGAAUAAUCUUUCAACACAACAGGGUUGGAUCUUGGGCGGAUUAUGUAGGUUCAACGUAGACGCCUUUAAUUUUCUGAUGCGCUCUGUAGGUUCUUUAGGUGCAAAUUCCUUGGGUGAAUACAUGAUUGAUGUAGGCGUAUGGGUAGAACUAUGGUGGAUUAUAAGUUACUGAUGUUUCUCAUGGCGAUGUCUCAUGUUGAUGGAUCU